UUUGAAAAUUUUUUUAUAGCUUCAUCAAAAUUAAUGUUUUUAGCUACUGCACAUUUAUACAUAAUCAUCCUCCCAGAAUACAAGGUCCCUUUUUUAUAUUCCUACAUAUACGUACAUAUACUUAAGAUUCUUUGGAGGCCCCUUGAUCAGAGGCCCGGGGCGAUCUGCUCCCUGGUAUGCCACUGUUUGUUGCAAUAUUUAGGCGAAUUUCUAGAAGUUUUUUUUUAUAUAGGUGCAUAAUCUGUGGAUGAUCUAAUAAGUGCUGCAAUCACUAGUAUCAAAAUGGCAUCUUGGAAGGAGAAAAUUCUGUAUUAUGAAACAAAAUCAUUGAGGUGUAGAUGUUCAUCAGUUUUUGGAUACAAAGUAUCCAAAUCAAAGGAUUGGGAGGAAUGGUCCAAAACUAUGACCAUCACAUUCACCAGAUAUUAUACCUCUUGACUUUUGUUAUGGGAAUUUAUUAAGGACAAAGUGUAUUCAGUACCAAUUCUUAAUACUGAAACUUUGAAGCAAGGAUAACUAAUGCUUUAGUGACAGUGACUGACAAGAUGGUGGAGAAAACAUGAAGAGAAAUAGAAUAUUGAUUAGAUAUUCUCCAAGUAACAAAUGGAAGACAUGUUGAAGUUUCUAGUAUAGAAAAAACUGUGGAAAUAUUAUUUAUUGUUUGGUAAAAAACUUUUUGAGUUAAAAUAUAAUGUGCU
rnacentral:lncRNA from 1 species